rnacentral:other from 1 species
GUCUCCCUGCUGUGUUCGCGAUUGACAAGGCAAAGCUUGAGCCAACACCAGUUCAAAUGGGAACCUAACUUUGCGCGAAGAUUGUAUGCCCUGGGUAGUGUAGGGAAACGUGAAUCGCUCAAGAGGGUACCCACCUGUAAAUAACAGGUUCAAAGCUUUACUUAAGUCACACGGCACAGCGGGGUUUAU